AAUAAGUGCAGCCAUAAAUAUCUGUGCCCAACGUUUGACCGUUCGUCUUAUUUAAAAAAUUUAUAAAAAAUUUAAAAAUAUUUAGUCGCACAUAAAGUAUUAUUAAUGUUUUAUCAUCUAAUAGCAAUAAAAAUGCUAAUCAUAAAAAAAUUUUAAAUAAGACGAACGGUCAAACGUUAAAUAUAAAUAGUGUAAAACUACACUUAUU
rnacentral:pre_miRNA from 1 species